UACUGCCCAGUCCUAACAGAAGCUCACACUGAUAUUAGUGAGGAAAAGACACCAGUCCUCAUUAACUGUCUGGUGGCUAACACCCUGCAGCACACCUGCUGCUGACAAGUCCGAACACAGGCUUCAUCUCAUCCUGAGUGAACCAAAGCCAUCUUCCUCAAUAACUGUCUGAUGGCUGAUGCCCUAAGUACACCUGCUACUGCUCAGUCUUAACAGAGGCUUUCCAUGAUCCUUAAUGAACAGAGGCAAGUAAACGAAACUAUGCUGGCAUUAUUUGAAAACAGAGGAAUGUCUCUUACUUUCAAAAACAAGAGGAAGACUGACAAAGAUUCUUUUAAAAUUAUCCCAUUAUUAAAUAUUGGGGGAUCAUGUAGUUAGUGACAUUAUAUUAACUUGUACAACUUCACAAUGCAGCAUAGCACACUCCAGUUUGUG